GAAAAUGAUCUGAAAACAGAAUAUUACCAGUAGUUGAUUUUACUGCAACAACAAACACACGCUUCUGGUUUCAUUCUCUCGUUCAAUGGCCAUAAAUGCUCAAAACCCAUCUCAAGAAUCAAAGUAAAAUAGUUGUAUAAGAGCUUCUAGAACGCAGAAAACCAGUGGGAAUGGUAUGGUAUGGAAUGAAAGAGCAAAAAGAGGAGGUUUGAUCAAUUAAUCCGUGAACACACUGCAUUUUUUUUCAUUAUUAUAUGGUCAAAGGUCAAUAUGCACACGAGUGAACAGCUCAAAAUCCA
rnacentral:misc_RNA from 1 species